GGUGAGACCAUCCACGGGGUGUGAUAUAUACCAAUGGCUCAGAGAGGUAUGCUCAGCAAAGCUGAUCGCAACUGUUAUCCGUCUUGGAGGAGCUGGUGUUAUUGUUCAGAUCGAUGAAAGUCUGUUCCGACACAAACCUAAGGGUGGACGGGGUAGGCGACCCAGGAGUGACUUGUGGGUGUUUGGGUUGGCUGACACGUCAACAACCCCUGCCACUGGCUUUGUCCAGUUAGUGGCAGAUAGAAGAGCAGUCACACUCUUGCCUAUAAUACAGGCACAUGUUCAACCAGGCACAGUGAUACAUUCCGACUGUUGGGCCGCUUACAAUAAUGUAGCAUCGUUGCCAAAUGUUGGAUCCCAUGGCACCGUCAACCACAGUAUUGAGUUUGUGAACAGCGUCACAGGGGUACACACACAAAACAUUGAGAGCUAUUGGAAUAGAAUUAAGAUCAAGCUGAAGAGGAUGCGGGGGGUGACAGAACAACAGUUGCCAUCAUACCUUGACGAGUUCAUGUGGAGAGAGCGACUGUCAACCCCUCAAUCGAAACAAGCUGCCUUUACCCAAGUAAUGGCUGACAUCGCCACAGUAUCCAGUCUAAGCCAAAAUCAUCUAUCUGUCCAUCCAUCAAUCAUGAUUGUAUUAUUCACUCGAUUAAUUAACUCUUCAUUGUUUUCAUCCAUCCAGGAACAUCAGUAUCAUAUCACUUUCCCUUGUUUUCACAUCCAGAAACAUCACACACAGUAUCAUCCCAGUUUUGGAUCAGUUUAUCCAUCCAGUAUCAUCUGUUUUCUUCAGCCAGUAUCAUUAAUUUUUUUCUACAAAUAA